CUUGGUCAUUUAGAGGAAGUAAAAGUCGUAACAAGGUUUCCGUAGGUGAACCUGCGGAAGGAUCAUUACCUAGAGUUGUAGGCUUUGCCUGCUAUCUCUUACCCAUGUCUUUUGAGUACCUUCGUUUCCUCGGCGGGUCCGCCCGCCGAUUGGACAAUUUAAACCAUUUGCAGUUGCAAUCAGCGUCUGAAAAAACUUAAUAGUUACAACUUUCAACAACGGAUCUCUUGGUUCUGGCAUCGAUGAAGAACGCAGCGAAAUGCGAUAAGUAGUGUGAAUUGCAGAAUUCAGUGAAUCAUCGAAUCUUUGAACGCACAUUGCGCCCCUUGGUAUUCCAUGGGGCAUGCCUGUUCGAGCGUCAUUUGUACCUUCAAGCUCUGCUUGGUGUUGGGUGUUUGUCUCGCCUCCGCGCGUAGACUCGCCUCAAAACAAUUGGCAGCCGGCGUAUUGAUUUCGGAGCGCAGUACAUCUCGCGCUUUGCACUCAGAACGACGACGUCCAAAAGUACAUUUUUACACUCUUGACCUCGGAUCAGGUAGGGAUACCCGCUGAACUUAAGCAUAUCAAUAAGCGGAGGA
rnacentral:rRNA from 1 species